GUGUCUGCGUGUCGCGCUCGCAGAAUACACCUUGGCGAUUUUUCUGCGCGCACACACCGGCUCGCGCUUUGCGUUCGCUCGCACGCGCGCACGAAUACCAGAUCGAGCUUGUUUCGCGCGCGCCUAUAUACGGACCGGCAGAUCGUAUAUGUGCGCGCAAGGUACGCGCCGCGCUGCCCAGCCAGCGGAGAGGAGAGAGAAUAUUUCGUUCGAUUUCGAUCGACGGGGUGCAACGGGGGAGAACCGCAUUGCUGGCCUGUGAGUCGACCGCGGCUGCUAGGACGACGACAACGACGACGACGACGACGACGAUGGUGGCGGCGGUGGUGGAGCCGACGCACAUCUUGUCGCCGGACGGCGUGUCUGAAGGGCAGGGCCGUAUUCUUGCUGGCUAGCACCCGUUUGAGGCUUCACCGCGCCUGUGUACGCCUCCGUUUUGCGUGUCAUCGGGGUGCACGAGGUGUGAAUUUUAAUACAAAGCUUGCUUACUGCGCGAACCAACACUGCGAGGGUUUCAAAGGAAAGUAAAAAUUUGCUAUUAAUAUUAUAGGUUCUUUCCCUCGUAAUCGGAUGAAGUAAUAAUUACAGAAAGUUAAUUACGUUCUCAAUGCUUGAAAACUUUCUUUAAUUUUAAGGGAAAUAUAAGAAAGUGAACACCAGUACGUAUAACGUUUCUCGUUUCUUGAUAUUAUAACAAGAGUUCAGUUUUGUAAUAGCUACAAAUUUAUUUUAUAU
rnacentral:misc_RNA from 1 species